UUCACCUCUACUUAUCUGAGUGCAGAGAGGAGGACAGAGAACAGUGGACACACAGUUUAACAUGAUGGACUAUAGGACAGGACUGCUGCUUUUAACUCUCUGCUGGGCAGGUGUUGAUGGUCAGACUCUGACAGAAUCUGAACCAGCGAUUAAAAGACCUGGAGAAUCCCACAGAUUGACCU